CUUUUCUGUUGUUAACCUGUCUGGUUCUCUAAUUGUUUCUGUCUGAUGUAUAAUUAAUUUUGCUAGGUAUAAGUUAGUUAGGGUAGUGAGAUAUAAUUGGUUAGGGAAUUAUGUUACAACAUGUUAGGAUUGGUUAGUUAAAUUUCAGUAAAAUGAUUGGUUAAGGUAUAGCUGAGAAUAUUACUAUAUAAACUGGGGUCAAACAGGAGGGGGAAAGGAAAUUGGAAUCAGGUUUGUUAAGGGGGGAAUGGAGAACUGGGACACAGGUAAGGCUCUGCAGCAUAAGAGCUGGGAAGAGGGUUACGGGGUAAACGCUCUGCGGCGUCAGAGCUGGGAACGGAACACUGGGGAACAGACUCUAUUGGCGUAUCGAGAUAAGCCCGACUUGUGUGAAGAGCUUUGGAAUAUGCUUGCUUGGAAACUAACCCUCAUCAACAUCGCAUUAUCUCACCAGGUUGCAGCCAGACAGAUUUCUUGGAUCGGCACCUGCGCCAGGAAGGCUGUUGAUGCCUGCAGCCUAGUGGAGUGAGGCAUCAUUUUAGUCGACAGGGGCACCUUCACCAGUUCAUAAAAGUAGCAGAUGCAGGCCAUGAUCCAAGACAAGAUUCCCUGGGCAGACAUUGGGCAACCCUUCAUCCUGUCUGCGACAGUAACCAACAACUGCAUGACUGUCAGAACAGCUUCAUUCUAUCUUUGUAGAAGUCCAGCGCCCAUCUGACAUCCAGGGUAUGCAGCCUGCAUUCCUCAUCCAUCGCAUGAGGCUUUGGAGAAAAAACCAGUCUUGCCUUGAAACAGAGUGUGGAACGACAAAAUGGCUGCCAGGUGUACCCUGAAGAAAGACAGCAACAGGCUCAGGAGCUUAAGGUGCAGCAAAGGUCCAGGAUGUGCUGCAGUGGGGCCUUUUCAGCGCAAAUGUGUCAGAGGCCCAACACGUGAACCGCUUCCACUUUGCCACGUAGGUAGCCAUGGUGGAGGGUUUGCUGCUAGCCAGCAGGACCUGCUGGACACCAUCAGAGCACUGCCAUUCAUCCAUGCUUAUCCACGCAGAAGCCAAGCUGUCAGGUGCAGCGUAGCCAGAUACAGAUGCAGCAGAUUGCUGUGUUUCUGGGACAGCAGAUCUGGCCGAAGAUGCGGUUGCAGUGAGGUGGCCGCCAAAAGACUCAACAGCAUGCCAAACCAGUGUUGGUGAGGCCAUGCGGGGGCUAUGAGGAUGACAUUUGCUUUGUUCUGCAUCAUCUUUAGCAGGAUCUUGUGGAUUAAAGGCACCGGCAUGAAGGCAGACAUCAGCGCUCCCGACCACUGAAUUAAGAAGGCUUCUGACAGGGAGCUUUUGUCCCUUCCCUGCAGAGAACCGAACACGUGGCACUUUCUGUUCUGCCUGGAUGCAGACAGGUCCACCUGCAGCAUCCCCCACCUGUGGAGGAUUAGGUUGUCUACCUCUGGAUGGAGUUACCAUUCAUGGUGAGAUGAGAAGGUCCUGCUGAGGUGAUCUGCCAGGACGUUCUUAGUUCCUGGCAGGUGGGCGGAUACUAGAUCACUGGCAUGCUGCACACAAAAGUCCUAGAGGCUGAGCACCUCCCAGCAAAGGGCUGAAGAUCUGGCACCGUCCUGUCCGUUGAUGUAAUACAUUGCUGCAAUAUUAUCUGUCAGGAGCUGAUGUCCAAGAGGAGGGAGUGCGACGGGGAUAGGGUCAUGAAGGGAACUUCUUGCAGCACCGACUUGGGAUCCAGCCACCAGUCCAGGGAUGAAGAUGUGGCUGGGCACUGAGACGACUUGGUCCAGGGCGUACCUGCUGGGGAUAUAGACCAAGGCCAACCAUGCUUGCAGAGGCCACAGAUGAAGUCAAGCAUGGCUGACCACGUAUGUGCAUGCGGCCAUGUGUCCCAUCAGUCGCAGGCAUGUGUGGGGCAUGGUGAACAGGUGGCUCUUUUUGUGGGAAAUCAGGUCCAUUAUGGCCUAAAAAUGUACCUCCGGAAAGCAGACCCUGGCCCGCGUGUUGUCGAGAAACACUUUUUAAUAAAUUCUGUGCGCUGGACUGGCAUCAACAUGAACUUACGUGUGUUUAUUCGCAGGCCCCGGUCACUGCAGGUAGAGGGCACCAGAGCGAGGCUCCUUUGCACCUGCCCCGGAGACCUGCCCUUGAUGAGCCAGUCAUUGAGAUAUGGGAAGAUCUGGAUCCCUCGAUGUGUCAUAUAAGCUGCCACUGGCAUCAUGCAUUUUGUGAACACUCUGGGAGCUGAAGACAGGCCACAGGGAAGCGCUGUGAACUGGAAGUGGCGCCCAGCCACCAAGAAACGCAGGAAACGCCUGUGUCCCAGGAAUAUGUAGACAUGGAAAGCCAUGAUGGGGUUGCCAGUCUUGUCAGUUGGGGCAGACUGUGAUGUGUGCAUGCCCAACAAGCGAAGGGUGUCCUUCAACCUGUGCAGCCUGGUGUCCAUCUGCUCGGAGAAAAGACCAAUCCCGUCGAAAGGGAGGUCUUGAAUUGAAGUCUGCAUCUCCUGGGAGAAGCCUGCCAUUUGGAGCCAGGAGCUGCGCCACAUAACAACCGCCAAUGUGACUCCCCAAGCCACCAAGUCCACCACAUGUCAUGCCAUCUACAGGGAGCAUCUGGCUGCCAUGGUAGCCUCCUCCACUAGGGUGCCGAACUCUUGGGCUAGACCUUGAGAGAACUUUUUGAGACCGUCCCAGAGGUUAAAGUUAUAUCUGCCCAACAGGGCCUGCUGGUUUGCUACCC